GGUUUUUUUGAUUAGUGAAGCCACCCCAGAGCACCCAAAGCUGCCCCUCAUGUGAGGAAAACAAGCUCCUUGCAUCCCACAAGUUCCCCUCCCCUUUUCUCCCCUCUUCCCUGCCCCACACGGCCUGAGCUCAUUAGGCCCUGCUGCUAAUUGCCUUCCAGAGCCACUCUGGGCGCGGGGGCUCUCGUUAACCCCCGGCCGGUGUCACGGCUCUGCCAACAGCCUCGUGAAGCUGCAAUUAAGACAAAGCCCAUUUGCAUGCGAGCUCCAGGUAACGAGCUCUCGAGGAGCCAGCCACCAUCCCAUCCUUUUAUUUUAUAUUUCCGCCCCCCUCCCGUUUCUCCUCGGCUCUCCCCGGUUCCUUUGCUUGUUUAUUUAUGGCCUUUUAUUGCCACCGAUAUUUGCAUGGAAACUGUUUCCUGCUGUUCCUUCCCCACUCCAAGCCAUCAUCCCCGGGUUGUGACAUUACAGUUUCCAUGGCAACGCGUUGAGAUGCCACAGAGGACCCUCGCUGCCUUCAGGCAUCCCGGGGGAAGUUCCCAGAACCAUUCCUCAUUUCUUCCAGCCAUCUGCUCCGACCCACGGCGAGAAAAGUCUCCCUUCCUCCCAAACUCCCCUUAAAAAAAAACCCCCGCGUUAAUCCAACCCGGUUGGGUCGCACAUGGGUUUUGCAAGGGACGUGGGAAAGAGCUCCUCGGUGGGAGAGGACCUCGAAAAGGAAACCCAGAGCAAGCAAAAGCUUUUUGGGGGAGUAGAGGGCGAGCUCGGUAGCAUCCCCAGCGCCGGGGAACGGGGGCGUCUCGGGGGGCCCGCCCCGGCCGUUGUCAGCCCAUAAAAAGGAACCCUGCAAACAACUUCUCAGCCUCCUUCCAAGGGAGCUGCUGCUCCGCCUCGUCCCUCCUCGGGCUGUAAUUUAAGGGCUCGGAGGGGGUGUGCGUCCCUUCCUGGAACCGCUGGCGCUCCGCACGCUGUGAAUAAUAUUCCGCUUUUUCCAUCUGUGACUAGAUUUACGACCCGGCAGCUCCGUUCAGAUCUAGGUCUGAUUUCGACGGUCGAUGCUGGAAUGUGAUAUUUUCCUAAAUGUCCCUGUAGUGCCAUGAAAUCCAGUUAUAAAGAAAACAAGGACAUGUUUUAACAAUAAAACCAAUGUGCAUGAUCUAAUUAAACGGCAUAAUAAAAUUAGGAAAUAAA